AUUGAACGCUGGCGGCAGGCCUAACACAUGCAAGUCGAACGGUAACAGGAAGAAGCUUGCUUCUUUGCUGACGAGUGGCGGACGGGUGAGUAAUGUCUGUGAAACUGCCUGAUGGAGGGGGAUAACUACUGGAAACGGUAGCUAAUACCGCAUAACGUCGCAAGACCAAAGAGGGGGACCUUCGGGCCUCUUGCCAUCGGAUGUGCCCAGAUGGGAUUAGCUAGUAGGUGGGGUAACGGCUCACCUAGGCGACGAUCCCUAGCUGGUCUGAGGGGAUGACCAGCCACACUGGAACUGAGACACGGUCCAGACUCCUACGGGAGGCAGCAGUGGGGAAUAUUGCACAAUGGGCGCAAGCCUGAUGCAGCCAUGCCGCGUGUAUGAAGAAGGCCUUCGGGUUGUAAAGUACUUUCAGCGGGGAGGAAGGGAGUAAAGUUAAUACCUUUGCUCAUUGACGUUACCCGCAGAAGAAGCACCGGCUAACUCCGUG
rnacentral:rRNA from 1 species